CGGGAGGCAGCAGUGGGGAAUAUUGCACAAUGGGCGCAAGCCUGAUGCAGCCAUGCCGCGUGUAUGAAGAAGGCCUUCGGGUUGUAAAGUACUUUCAGCGGGGAGGAAGGUGUUGUGGUUAAUAACCACAGCAAUUGACGUUACCCGCAGAAGAAGCACCGGCUAACUCCGUGCCAGCAGCCGCGGUAAUACGGAGGGUGCAAGCGUUAAUCGGAAUUACUGGGCGUAAAGCGCACGCAGGCGGUCGGUCAAGUC
rnacentral:rRNA from 1 species